rnacentral:rRNA from 1 species
GGUAGGGAUACCCGCUGAACUUAAGCAUAUCAAUAAGCGGAGGAAAAGAAACCAACAGGGAUUGCCCUAGUAACGGCGAGUGAAGCGGCAACAGCUCAAAUUUGAAAGCUAGCCUUCGGGUUCGCAUUGUAAUUUGUAGAGGAUGCUUUGGGUAAAACGCCAGUCUAAGUUCCUUGGAACAGGACGUCAUAGAGGGUGAGAAUCCCGUAUGUGACUGGAAAUGUUAACCUAUGUAAAGCUCCUUCGACGAGUCGAGUUGUUUGGGAAUGCAGCUCUAAAUGGGAGGUAAAUUUCUUCUAAAGCUAAAUAUUGGCGAGAGACCGAUAGCGCACAAGUAGAGUGAUCGAAAGAUGAAAAGCACUUUGGAAAGAGAGUUAAAAAGCACGUGAAAUUGUUGAAAGGGAAGCGCUUGCAAUCAGACUUGUUUAAACUGUUCGGCCGGUCUUCUGACCGGUUUACUCAGUUUGGACAGGCCAGCAUCAGUUUCGGCGGCCGGAUAAAGGCUACUGGGAAUGUGGCCUCCACUUCGGUGGAGGUGUUAUAGCCCAGUGUGUAAUACGGCCAGCCGGGACUGAGGUCCGCGCUUCGGCUAGGA